AUAAUGAUACUCCUGUCCAGCCACAGUCCGAGCGUGAUAAGCGUUCUCAGCGCGAAGCCGUCGCAGGCAAUGGGGGCAGCCGAAAAGCAGAGAUCCUGCCGGGGGUGAAAGGCCCGUG
rnacentral:ncRNA from 1 species